UGGGCAAUGGAUUGAUGGCAUGACAAUCCAGUUGUCCACCCAUAUUUUAUAAAGGGUGCAACGACAAACCACUACACCCCAACGAAUCAAAAAAAAACAAGCAAAACGGCACCUGGGCAUGGCUAAACAUACUUGGCACUAUGUUUACCCCCUUUUCAGUGCCCAGGUGUCUCCAUUAUUAACUCCCCCAUAAAAGAAAACAAAAAAAAACUUAGUGAACACGGCGGUCACGAGAGGCAUUACAGUGGCCUGCCCAUCCGGGAGUGUUCAUUAUAGCUACCGCUGGCUUCCCCAACUCUAGCGCAUACUGGAAGCUAGUGGUUUUUCAUGGUUGGUGGCCACCAUGUAGGCGAAAAGGCCACUUUCUAAGGCCCUUCCACGUAAAUUUUUUUUUUGCUGUCGACUUGGGAUUUUUCGUUUACAAGGCCCGCAACAAAACUCCAGGGCUGACAAGGCCCGAAGGCAGGACUGGUGUGCGGGCUGUAUCGAACUAUGUGACGUCCGGGAUCAAGCCCAACGUGGGGAACUCUCACACCCUGAGAUUAAGCCGGGCUCUGAGUUUACUUUUAAUUUAGGGAAGUAUUUUUUUUUUCUAUCACAUAAGUCCUUACUUGGUGUGUAUUUACAGGUCAGUCGACUGGGUAAAAAAAAAUUGGAACAGAAAUCUGGUCACUCAUGCGCGAAUAAGUCGGAAGAUUACGUUGUAAAAUCUUAUUGGAGGUAUAGUUCGGGCGUAGAUGCAUAAUUACGAGGUAGGGUAUAAAUCAUUAAAUAAUCACUUCUAUAUGAAAAUCAGGUACAUUUGGGUAUAUCACAGACGUAAUGUAUAUUGCACUAUAGAGGUAAAUAUAUGAAUGGGACAAGCACAACAUGUAAUUAAGUCAACCUAAUUCUAAUAAUGCACUUGUCUAUCACGGAAUUUAAAUCUAUAUUGCACUAAUACUUUAUGUCUUUGACAUGGUAAAUACCAAUGGAUUUUCCUUGCAUAUCCUCGAGUUCAUACAUGUUUUGUCCAACGGGCUUGACAAUUCGGGCUUUAACAAAUUUUUUGCAGAAUUUUGAAUUAAUAUUUUUCGAAAAGUCGGAUAAGACGGUAUUUCGCCGGUAGACUUCUUGUCCAGGUCGAAAUUUACACACCCUUGCACGUUUAUUAUAUUUUUCAGAACUUUUUAUGUAAACUCGAUGUAAAUUUUCUUUUAUAUUGGCUCUUAUGAGUUCUAGCUUACUUGGUCUAUCCAUAUUACUGAGCUCAUGGUCGGUUAAGGAUUUCAAUUUCCUUGCCAAGCUAUAAUCCUGUCCAUUUGAGUACAUAUGAAAGCCAAACAACGCAAAGAACGGCGUAACCCCAGUCGAAGUGUGUAUAGAAUUUCUCAAUGCACAUUCUAUUUCGGAUAAAUACAUAUCCCAGUCUCUAUGAUCUUUAUCGAGAUAUGCCCGAAUGGCACAAAUUACCGACUGGUUCACACGUUCCGAUGCGUUGGACUGUGGCGAAUAUAUGGCUGUUUUCAUAUGAUUUAUUUGAUAAGUUUCCAUCAGCUCUUUGAACAUUUUGGAGGUAAACUGCGCCCCAUUAUCGCUGUGGAUCACUUCGGGGACACCAAAUUUAUAAAAAAUUUCAUCGACAAGGAAUUUUAUCACGUUGCCGACGGUUGCCUCCCUCAUUGCUUUGAGAAAGGUGAAUUUAGUGAAGUGAUCCACAACGAUGAAAAUGUAUGCAUUACCUUUUUUCGAUCUUGGGUAUUUUCCUAAAAAAUCUAUAUACAGCUUUUGGAACGGCCUAUCAGUUACUACCUCCUUUCCUAUACUGGGCAUCAUAUGCUGAUUGCUAGCUUUGGUUUCCUUACAAACCUGACAGUUCCUUACGUAUUCACGCACUUGAACGGUCAUUCGAGGCCAAUAGAAGAAUCGUCUUAUACGUUCAAGGGUCUUUAUUAUCCCGCCAUGUGCAGACGUCAUAGAAUUAUGGGCUUUUUUUAUUAUUUCCGAGGUUAUACUUGAGGGAAUCCAUAACCUCCAUGUGAGUUCCUCAUUUUCUUCCAAGCUAGGUAGUACCUUUUUAAAAACAUACCCAUCUUCUACUUUUAAAUCUGGCAACUUUUCUUGGUUGUCGGUAACAGUUUUAAUGAGAUCAAGAUAUUCUUGACUCUCGAAUUCCAGGGUUUCAAAAUCUAAGUAGUCAUUUUUCGUGAUUUCGCUAACAUUGGCAACUGGAGCCCUCGACAACAUGUCCGCUACAACAUUCUCGCUUCCUUUCCGGUGUUCUAUAUUAAAAUUAAAUGCCUGCAAUUGUAAUGACCACCUAGCUAGUCUUCCCGUUAAAUCCUUUAAGGACAUAAGCCAUUUUAAAGAAGCGUGGUCCGUUAUUACAGUGAAUGGCAUCAAUUCCACAUAUGGUCGAAACUUUUUGAUAGCCAUCACUGCAGCUAGACAUUCUUUUUCUGUCACGCUAUAAUUGCGUUGACAGGAAUUUAACUUUUGCGAAUAAAACGCUAUGGGGUGUUCUUCCCCCUUAUUAUUUAGUUGAUAUAGCACAGCCCCAAUUCCACAUUCCGAAGCAUCGCAUUGAAUGUAGAAAUGUUUUGAAAAAUCCGCAUGGCGAAGGACUGGGGCAGAUGUUAAAGCCUUUUUUAAUGCUUCAAAAGCUUUUCUAGCUUCCUCCGUGAUUUUAAAGUUCUUACUCUUUUUUAGGGUAUCGGUAAGUGGAGCGGAGAUGGUGGCAAAAUCUUUAAUGAAACGCCUAUACCAUCCCGCUGUCCCUAAGAAGCUUCUAACUUCUCUAGCGCUACGUGGUUCUGCGAUCUUUUUAAUGGCUUUUACCUUGUCUGGGUCCGUCUUUAGUUUUCCAUCGCCAAUGAUAAAUCCCAAAUACCUCAGUUCGCGGAAACAGAACUGGGAUUUCUUAAGCCCUAUCGUUAGAUUUGCUUUCUUUAAGCACUCUGCUACUUCCCAUAAUAGACGCAAAUGUUCGUCAAAAUCACUAGAGAUGACCAGCAAGUCGUCUAAAUAAAUGAAAACGUUUUCUUUCAGGUGUGACGGUAUAACUUUGUCCAUCAACCUACAUAAGCGUUGGGCCGCGUUACAAAGACCGAACGGCAUCACCCUAAAUUGAUAUAACGGGCGACCAGGGACUGUAAACGCUGUGUAUGCUUUGCUUUCAUCAUCUAAUUCUAUCUGCCAAAAUGCAAACUUUAAAUCAACACUGCUGAUGUAGUAUGUCUCGUCGAUUCUGCUUAAGAUGCCCUCAAUAUUUUGGAGCGGAUACGCAUCCUUCACGGAGGUUUUUUUCGGAGAGGAGUGGUGUGUGCGGUUGCAGGCUAUUAUGGCCUUUAUGGAACUGAUGGAUCAAUCAAACCUUAACACAAAAUUAAAAUAAAAAAACAACAAUUUAAUACGUGCACUAUAACGCCUCCCACCGAAGACGUUACAGUUUUCCCAGAUCAUCUAAACGGAUACAUCUGUCCUCUGGUUAAAUCCAGAGCGGAUACCCUGUUAAUGAAUCUGUGUCACUUUUAAAUUUCAAACGGAUACUAUUCUCUACCAUCUAUCCAAGAUAAUUUGUGCGAAACCGCUUAACCUUCUGAUCGGCGGGUCACAAACUAUCUUGGUCUGUAUUUUUCAUUACAUACUUUCCAUGUAAAACACGGGCUCCAAACGUUUUUGUACAUCAAGUUCUGGCACCUGUCCAGAAUGGCUACAAAAACCCUUUGAAUUCGUCGUUCCAAACGCAAAGUAGUAAUGUUGGUCUAUUUUCUUUUACUUCUAGUGGUCUAUUUCCAAGUGUCUCGAUGGAAUACACUUCCUAACUUCUACAAACCCUAUGGUUUCUUUGGUUUGGGCGCCAUAUUGUUAUGUGUCCCUCUUAGGCAGCCUGAGAUGUCUUGAUAUCGCCGACCAGCUCUGCCGACUCCCAUUGGGGUGAGUCCCAUCCCAACAUCCGGCUCAGGAACAACAACAAUAAACUAUGGGAAUUCACCAACAAAAGAACAACACUAUAAUGAUGAACAUGAUACCAUCCAAAUCCAUAACGUCUGUUGACACACGAGCCAUUUAGCCGCCCUCCCUACCUUUGAUCAUCUCUUCCUUUUAUUGUCCUGAUGACCCCUUUUUCCGCACAAUCCCACACCACUUACCUCCCUUUUAUUCCCUCCUUAAUAACUCUUUAACACAUCCUCAUUUUUUCUUUCUUUAAACA